AUUGAACGCUGGCGGCAUGCCUUACACAUGCAAGUCGAACGGUAACAGGUCUUCGGAUGCUGACGAGUGGCGAACGGGUGAGUAAUACAUCGGAACGUGCCCGAUCGUGGGGGAUAACGAAGCGAAAGCUUUGCUAAUACCGCAUACGAUCUACGGAUGAAAGCAGGGGACCGCAAGGCCUUGCGCGAACGGAGCGGCCGAUGGCAGAUUAGGUAGUUGGUGGGAUAAAAGCUUACCAAGCCGACGAUCUGUAGCUGGUCUGAGAGGACGACCAGCCACACUGGGACGGAGACACGGCCCAGACUCCUACGGGAGGCAGCAGUGGGGAAUUUUGGACAAUGGGCGAAAGCCUGAUCCAGCCAUGCCGCGUGCAGGAUGAAGGCCUUCGGGUUGUAAACUCCUGUCGAAUGGGACGAAUGGCCUGGCCGUGAACAACGGCCGGGAAUGACGGUACCGUGAGAGGAAGCCCCGGCUAACUCCGUGCCAGCCGCCGCAGUAACAC
rnacentral:rRNA from 1 species